UACGGAAGGGGCGAGCGUUGUUCGGAAUCACUGGGCGUAAAGCGCGCGUAGGCGGCUUUGCAAGUGCGGCGUGAAAGUCCUGGGCUCAACCUGGGGACGGCGCUGCGGACUGCAUGGCUGGAGUCCGGAAGAGGGUGGUGGAAUUCCGAGUGUAGAGGUGAAAUUCGUAGAUAUUCGGAGGGACACCGGUGGCGAAGGCGGCCACCUGGUCCGGCACUGACGCUGUAGCGCGAAAGCGUGGGGAGCAAACAGG
rnacentral:rRNA from 1 species